UACGUAGGUGGCAAGCGUUUAUCCGGAAUUAUUGGGCGUAAAGCGCGCGCAGGCGGUUUCUUAAGUCUGAUGUGAAAUCUCCCGGCUCAACUGGGAGGGUGCGCCGAAUACUGAAUGACUUCGAGUGCGGGAGAGGAGAGUGGAAUUCCUGGUGUAGCGGUGAAAUGCGUAGAUAUCAGGAGGAACACCGGUGGUGUAGACGGCUCUCUGGACCGUAACUGACGCUGAGACACGAAAGCGUGGGUAGCAAACAGG
rnacentral:rRNA from 1 species